rnacentral:rRNA from 1 species
AUGCGUUGCUCGAGAAGCAUGUCUGGUCCGGGGCAAAAAACGUUCAAGAUCCUGUGCCGCGCCGACGAGGGGUACUGCGUCACCGUCUGCGGCGGAGACGAUGGCGAUGCCGCCGUCGUCAUGGCGGCAGCAGACCCCGACGACGAGUACCAGCACUGGUACAAGGACAUGAGGCGCAGCACGAGGGUGAAGGACGAGGAGGGGUACCCGGCGUUCGCGCUCGUCAACAAGGCCACCGGGCUCGCCAUCAAGCACUCGCUCGGCCAGUCCCAUCCCGUCGAUCUGGUGCCGUACGAGUACGACCCAGCGGUAAUGGACCUGUCAGUGCUGUGGACGCAGAGCAGGGACGUGGGCGACGGCUUCCGCUGCAUCCGCAUGGUCAGCAACAUCUACCUCAACUUUGACGCCUUCGAGGGCGAGCCGGAGCUUCAGGACGGCACCAUCGUCGGGCUGUGGGAGUGGAACGAGGGGGGGAACCAGUGCUGGAAGAUCCUGCCGUGGGGCACCCAGGCCGAAGCCGACGGUGACGACGACCAGUAUGGCGGGUACCACGGCGGCCAGGACCAGGAGACUACGCGUUUCAGCUACGGCGGAGACGAUGCGGCGCCACAGGACCAAGGCCAAGGGUACGACGGUGGCUUGCCUCCUGCGCUGUCUUCCGAGUGCACCGUCCGCAUCUUCUGCAGCGCCGGCGGCGAUGCGUACAGCGUCACGGCGAGGAACGUUACCGUGUGCCUCGCUCCUACCGACCCCGGCGACGACUUACAGGUGACAACAGAUAAUCAAAACAUCACCAUCUCAUCGAUCUUAAUUAAUUGGUGA